UACGGAGGGUGCAAGCGUUGUUCGGAAUUAUUGGGCGUAAAGAGCGUGUAGGCGGUUAGGUAAGUCAGAUGUGAAAGCCCUUGGCUUAACCAAGGAAGUGCAUUUGAAACUACUUAGCUUGAGUACGGGAGGGGGAAGCGGAAUUCCCGGUGUAGAGGUGAAAUUCGUAGAUAUCGGGAGGAACACCGGUGGCGAAGGCGGCUUCCUGGACCGAUACUGACGCUGAGACGCGAAAGCGUGGGGAGCAAACAGGAUUAGAUACCCUGGUAGUCCACGCCGUAAACUUUGGGCACUAGGUGUUGCGGGUAUUGACCCCUGCAGUGCCGAAGCUAACGCAUUAAGUGCCCCGCCUGGGGAGUACGGUCGCAAGACUAAA
rnacentral:rRNA from 1 species